rnacentral:pre_miRNA from 1 species
CUAGUGUUCUCUCUGUCCAACAAAAGAUGUUUCAAGUUUGUCAAAAUUUAGAUGUAUUUAGACAUGACUUAGUGUAUAGACGCAUUCAAAUUUAGUCAAAGUUGAGACCUCCUUUGUUGGACGGAGAAAAUACUAA